rnacentral:rRNA from 1 species
UAAGUAGAUAGUGAAAUCUGGUGGCUCAACCAUUUCAGACUGUUAUCUAAACUGCCAAGCUCGAGAGCGUUAGGGGUAGCUGGAAUUUCUAGUGUAGGAGUGAAAUCCGUAGAUAUUAGAAGAACACCGAUAGCGUAGGCAGGCUACUGGGACGUUUCUGACACUAAGGCACGAAAGCGUGGGGAGCAAACGGGAUUAGAUACCCCGGUAGUCCACGCUGUAAACGAUGGAUACUA